AAUGUACUUUGGUGCAAGGUUUGAAGUAUCACAAUGAUUAUUUAUAUAACUGCAGUAAGUUACUUCACUAUCUUCUGCACAGGAUUUCUUGAAGGACAAUUCUGCUAACUUGUUUUAAUUAAACUGAUUCAAUGCUCAUUUAUAUGCCGCAUUAAAACAUAUUUUAGUGCCUUUGGUGUCACAAAGGUUAGUUUGCUGAUUUCUUGUAGUUUACUUUGUGAAUCAAGAAUUAUGGUGAGAGAAAGAAAAGAAAGAAAGGGAAAAGGAACACGACUUGUCAGCCGUUUUUUUACUAACUGUUGUCUGGUUUAGAAAGAAAUCCAAAAUGGAAGGUUGCAGCUCCUCUUGAGGCUAGGCAAAAGGAGCCAACUUUAAUCAACAUCGACAGGAGCAAGCUAGAAAAGAGAAAGAAGAGUUGGAAAAGUUGCUCAAAGAGAACCCGUUAUACGGAACUAGCGGAGCUUCAAAGAUGAAAGGAAGAGGCCAUGAAGAGGAAGAAGCAACAGGGGGCCGGAAAACAUUCAAAUCAGACAAAAUCAUCUGUAAAGAACAUACUCCGACCGGAGUUGUCCUUUGCCCUCGGUUCUAAAUGAUUGAUUUUACAACCAGGUUUAUUUGUUCUAAUAUUUUGUGCUGUAGCUGAACUUCCAUUAGUAAUUAAGAGCAUAUAUAUGAUUGUAAAUGUAGUUUUGAAGUUGAAAAUCUAUUCUGCUUGCUUUACCUUUAA